rnacentral:rRNA from 2 species
GGACCCGCACAAGUAGCGGAGCAUGUGGUUUAAUUCGAAGCAACGCGAAGAACCUUACCUAAGCUUGACAUCCUUUUGACCACUCCCUAAUCGGAGAUUUCCCUUCGGGGACAAAAGUGACAGGUGGUGCAUGGUUGUCGUCAGCUCGUGUCGUGAGAUGUUGGGUUAAGUCCCGCAACGAGCGCAACCCUUGUCUUUAGUUGCCAGCAUUAAGUUGGGCACUCUAGAGAGACUGCCAGGGAUAACCUGGAGGAAGGUGGGGAUGACGUCAAAUCAUCAUGCCCCUUAUGCUUAGGGCUACACACGUGCUACAAUGGGUGGUACAGAGGGCAGCCAAGUCGUGAGGCGGAGCUAAUCCCUUAAAGCCAUUCUCAGUUCGGAUUGUAGGCUGAAACUCGCCUACAUGAAGCUGGAGUUACUAGUAAUCGCAGAUCAGAAUGCUGCGGUGAAUGCG